UGUUGCUUGUCUUCUUUUUGAGAGUA
rnacentral:piRNA from 1 species